UGGACAUAUUAUUGUAUUCGACUGUAUUCACAGAAUGAAAUAGGAGAUUACACUAUUUUUAAACGAAAAGUGAAUCAAUUAAUAUAAUAGACUCCU
rnacentral:pre_miRNA from 1 species